rnacentral:rRNA from 1 species
CCUGGGCUAGAAUGUAUUUUGCUACUUUGAGAAAUUAAAGGUUCCUUCGGGACAAAAUACAAGGUGCUGCAUGGCUGUCGUCAGCUCGUGCCGUGAGGUGUUGGGUUAAGUCCUAUAACGAGCGAAACCCUUUUACUUAAUUGCCAGCACGUAAUGGUGGGAACUUUAAGUAGACUGCCCGUGUAAGCGGGAGGAAGGAGAGGAUGAGGUCAAGUCAUCAUGGCCUUUAUGCCCAGGGCUACACACGUACUACAAUGGCAUGUACAAAAGGAAGCUACUUGGUAACAAGAUGCAAAUCUCAAAAGCAUGUCUCAGUUCGGAUUGAGGUCUGCAAUUCGACCUCAUGAAGUUGGAAUCGCUAGUAAUCGCGUAUCAGCAAUGACGCGGUGAAUACGUUCUCGGACCUUGUACACACCGCCCAUCAAGCCAUGGGAGUUGGUAGAGCUUGAAGACAGUGGCA